rnacentral:tRNA from 1 species
UCAGUAGUGGCGCAGGGGUACAAGCGUUUGACUAUAAAGGCAAGGACGCCAACGCUUGUUGUGGGUUCGAAUCCCACUUGAGAAA